UGCGAUGAUACUUGACUUAAUGACAAGAUAUAUAUCAUACACUGGUAACAAAUACAAAUUAUUCAAAGAGUGUCUGGAUGAUAUUGGUCAGAGUUUGUUGGUGGACAAUUUGGAGAAGUCAGAGGAUGAAAUCAUAGAAAAGAGUGCAGUUGACAUGUCAGUUGGCAAAGGCAAUGGACGUGAGGUUUCAGAUGACAACACUGAGCCUGAAGAAAUAAGUUGAUGAAGGUUUUUAUAGAUCAACUUUUUAGCUCACUUGGGGAUACCUAUCUAUUUAUUGGAGGUCUGUUUAUCUCUCAAACAAGAGGAUGUGAUAGUUAAUAUUGCAAUGUUAAUUGUAGCUAAAGUGGAUGUUGGCCUACUGAAAAAGAACAUGGACAAUAAUUAUGGGUGUUCGUACUGAAGAAAGUGUUCAUAAACUGCAGAUAUUUACAGUUUGUAAAGUUUCUUUCUGGGACCAGUGAAUCUGUAUGUAAUUGUAUUAUAACUGCCAAUGAAUAACAAUGAUCUCAAAUCUGUGGCAUAUCUAAGUAUUAGGAAUCUGUAGAUGGAACAUAUGAAUAUAUGAAUGCAGUAAACAGAAAAAUCAUCAAGAGGAAGAAAGAUGUAAAAGACGCCUGUUGAAGUAAAUCAUGAUUAUCAGUUUAUUGUAAUAAUGUUACACAAUACAAAGCACACUGUGAUUUUACUAAUCAAAUGCUCAGUGUAGUCUUAUAGUUAUACUAAAAUAAAUACAUUCCAUUUAUUCAUAUAGAUAUAAUAUUUAUGUGUUCUAUAGAGCCUUUGUAAGUAGAUACUGCUUGAUAUACGGGUUCUCAAGUCAGAUAUACUACUGUUAGUUAUAUACCAUUCUACAGGUGAUAUUGUAAUAAUGUUCUAAAUUUUUAAGAUAUUUUAAUCAUGUUACAUUAUGUGGAAAAUCCUUGUAUAAUUUAAAAACAAAACAAAAAUAAUUUUAUAUGAUAAAAUUAAUUGUACUAAAGUAUUUUGUUAUAAUGCUAAGAGAUUCUGAAAUUUUCAUACAGAUCCAGUGGUAAAUAAAAUGAAGUUUAUGAUUUUUAUGCUCCCCAAAUGGGGAAACAUAUAUUAUCUUACAUCCAUCAGUCUGGCAAUAGAAUAACUAUUGAUUAUUUAGCAUUAAUUAAACCAUAAUGCCAUCUUUGUCAUGCCUGCAAUCUUCAAUCCCAGGAGGAGAUGCACAUCUUUACAUCUUUACAUCUUGUGUAUGCUUUUUAGCUCGACUAUUCGAAGAAUAAGUAGAGCUAUCCUACUCACCACGGCGUCGGCGUCGGCGUC
rnacentral:lncRNA from 1 species